ACGGGUCGUCUGGUGAACUCGCGACACAUCUAGCUCCCACCCACUCGCGCGUCGGCGUCAAGGUGUGGAGAUGGAGUCCGCGGGCACGGAGAUCAGGCAUCCUGGAUCCCUGGGCGCAGUUCGUGAGGUCACCGAAGAUGAUCCCAGCGGCCGAUUCCCAGAUUUAUUAGAUACAGUUGAAGCUGUUCUGCGCCCAGACGUCAGCGAUUCAGAAGAGAAUAAGGCCAGCAGGGCGGAGAAUGUGUAUGUAGCCCUGGAUGACAAGGUUGGAUGGGUUAGCAGGAAACGGCGGGAUGUCAUGCCAGACGAAAGACCAACAAGUGCAGACAGGGUCACCGCGCUGGAAAAAGCUCUAACCGGGUUUGCAGAUAGGGAUUCAGAUUCUGUUGUGACUCCGUCCGUUGGGCUAUCAUUUGACUCGAUAAAUGAGGCAUAUGAAUUCUACAACCUGUAUUCUUGGGAGUGUGGAUUUGGUGUUCGCUAUGCAAAGAGCAGGACGAAUGUAAAAGGGACAAAAUGCAUGCAGGAGUUCGUCUGCUGCUGCUCGGGCAAACCAAAAGAAGCAAAUACGAAGUCUACAUGGUGUCAAUGCCAAGCCAUGAUAAGGCUUCUCCGAACGGACGACGAAGGCUGGUACAUCAACAAAUUCAGGUCCAAACACAACCACCCCAUGCUGAACACUUGUGCUGAGAAGUUGCAUUUCCCAUCGCAUAGGCAUAUUGACAAAUACACACGUGAGCUUGUUUCCCAACUAAGACAGAACAAUGUUAAUCUGAGCAAGGUUUAUAGUAUAAUCGCAACAUUUUUUGGUAGAGUUGAGAAUGUGCCGUUCACCAAGAGAUGUUUAAGGACUCUGUGUGGGAAGCUUAGCAGGGAGCAAGCUGAUGACGAUGUGUGAAAGACAAUGGCUAUUUUUUCAGAAAUGAAAGCACAAGACAGCGAGUUCACAUACAACAUUCAGGUAGAUGAUGAGGAUACGGACCCUUAUGUGGAUGAACGGGCGUAGCAAAACACAGUACCAUCACUUCGGUGACGUUAUCACCUUCGACCCGACAUACAAAACAAACCUGUAUGAUAUGCCAUUUGGUCUGUUUGUGGGGGUGAAUAAUCAUUUUCAGAGUGUGCUUUAUGCGGGGGUUUUGAUGCGAGACGAGACCGAGGAUACAUUCAAAUGGAUUUUUGAUGAGUUCGUGAAGAUGAUGGGUGGUAAAAAACCAAUUACAAUUCUAACAGAUCAAGCUAGAGCCAUGGAAAAGGCAAUCGAGGAGGUGUAUCCUGAAUCCACGCAUCGCUGGUGCAAAUGGCACGUGCUGAAGAAGGCCAAAGAAAACCUGGGUGCUCAUUACACCAAGAAGUCAGAUUUCAGGGCUGAAUUCCACAAGCUUGUGCAUGAGAUGCUGACUAUUGAUGAAUUCGAGGACGGCUGGGCAGCAUUGCUUGACAAAUAUUCACUGAAAACAAAUCCAUAUCUCGUGCAGAUCUACGAGACUAGGCAGAAGUGGGCAAAACCUUACUUUGCCGGGAAAUUCUGUGCUCGCCAAACUAGCACUGGCAGGAGUGAGAGUGCAAACCAUAUGCUGAAGCAGUAUGUCCCCCCGUCAUGCUCAAUGAAUCUAUUUGUCAAGCAAUACAACAAGCUCCAGUUCGACCGAGAACAGGAGGAAGGAUUCCAGGAGAAACGUACUAGACUGAGUCAUGUUGUGCUGAAGGUGAACACCUCUCUUGAAGUACACGCAAGCAAGAUAUAUACUAGGAAGAUGUUUGAGAUUUUUGGUGGCAUACUGUAUGAAUCUGGAAUGUAUGAUGUCGAAGAAAUCAUAGAGAAGCAGAAAUACAUAGUGACACACCGGAGAGCCGAGCUCUGUGAGAAGUGGUUCAAGUGCCGGUUUGAAGUCAACGUGUCUAAUAACCUUGGUUAUUUCUCGUGCAUUUGCGGUCUGUUUGAGCACAUGGGCAUGGUUUGCUGUCACUCGCUACAGGUGAUGGUUCUACUACGCCUGAAGCAGAUACCUUCGAGGCAUAUACUGAAAAGGUGGAGCAUACACGGCAGAGACAACCUGCCAGCGCAUCUGAAGCACUAUCAACAAGACAUGGGUCUGUCGGAUGCGCCCACUUUCAGGCAUUCUGCUCUGUACAUCACUGCCCUGGAGGUUGCAAAUAUGGGGGACAGGAACCCGGCAGCUUCUGAGUUUAUGAUGACAGGCCUGGUUGAACUUAGAACAAGAGGCGCCGAGGUGUGCGCGUUCAAUGACGGCCUUGGCGUCGUUGAGCAACAGGUAUCCAACAAUGUAGUUCUUGGCGGUCCAAACUCAAAGUUUUUCAACGGCAAGACAUCUUGCUCCGUAAGAAGUGUGGAAGGCAAUCGAACUAAAUCACGCGAUGCCGCGUCUGUGUCUAUGCAUCCUCCAAUUAGCCAGGCCUCAGAAGCAUCAUGCCCAAAUGGUGAUGGGUACAAUUCAGAUUUCUUUGAAGCCGCGUCCAGCCUGAUGCCCAAUGUUGAACAAGAACUGCUUGCCCCGGAAAGAAAAAACAAACAAGGCGGGCCAACCACUAGCCGUGAUAAACUCCUUAUGAGAAAGACAUCGCCAAGAGAUCUAGGUUCUGUUCCAUCUGCAGGGGCAAAGGUCACAAAGCCAGCACUUGCCCUGAUCAAGGUGAUAUCCCCAAAAAGGAAAGGAAGGUGGCCACAUGCGGCAAAUGCAGGGUUCCAGGGCACCGAAGGAUGACUUGCAGCAAGCCUCUCGUCUCGAUGAUGCCCGGUGUCCCUCCUUCACAUUAGACGGUGAAUUUCGUACGCUGAUUCCCCCGUGUAACAUUUGCUUAGGUAUGGGCGUGCUGUCUGAACGUAUCUAGAUGCACAUGUGUUGUGCUGUCUGAACAUACGUACUUGCGUUUUAUAUAAUCUAUCAAACGUGUUUGAACGAUGAAAAUGUGUAU
rnacentral:rRNA from 1 species